rnacentral:rRNA from 1 species
UACAGAGGGUGCAAGCGUUAAUCGGAAUUACUGGGCGUAAAGCGCGCGUAGGUGGUGUGUUAAGUCUGCCGGUCAAAUGCCGAGGCUCAACCUCGUUGCACGCCGGGAUACUGGCACGCUAGAGACAAGUAGAGGCAAGCGGAAUCCGGGUGUAGCGGUGGAAUGCGUAGAGAUCCGGAAGAACACCGGAGGCGAAGGCGGCUGCUGGGCUUGGUCUGACGCUGAGGCGCGAAAGCGUGGGAGCGAACAGG